rnacentral:rRNA from 1 species
UUUCAGCUGAGACGCAAGAUUUUCUGCUCAGAAAUUUACACGGGGCCGAAGGGUGUUUUACGCGUGGGAAGUACCUUUUGGUUCGGAAAACACAGGGAAACUUGUGCUAAUACCGGAUAAGCCCUUACGGGGAAAGAUUUAUCGCCGAAAGAUCGGCCCGCGUCUGAUUAGCUAGUUGGUAGGGUAAUGGCCUACCAAGGCGACGAUCAGUAGCUGGUCUGAGAGGAUGAUCAGCCACAUUGGGACUGAGACACGGCCCAAACUCCUACGGGAGGCAGCAGUGGGGAAUAUUGGACAAUGGGGGCAACCCUGAUCCAGCCAUGCCGCGUGAGUGAUGAAAGCCCUAGGGUUGUAAAGCUCUUUUGUGCGGGAAGAUAAUGACGGUACCGCAAGAAUAAGCCCCGGCUAACUUCGUGCCAGCAGCCGCGGUAAUACGAAGGGGGCUAGCGUUGCUCGGAAUCACUGGGCGUAAAGGGUGCGUAGGCGGGUCUUUAAGUCAGGGGUGAAAUCCUGGAGCUCAACUCCAGAACUGCCUUUGAUACUGAAGAUCUUGAGUUCGGGAAAGGUGAGUGGAACUGCCAGUGUAGAGGUGAAAUUCCUAGAUAUUCGCAAGAACACCAGUGGCGAAGGCGGCUCACUGGCCCGAUACUGACGCUGAGGCACGAAAGCGUGGGGAGCAAACCGGAUUAGAUACCCUGGUAGUCCACGCCGUAAACGAUGAAUGCCAGCCCUUAGUGGGUUUUCUCCCUAGUGGCGCAGCUAACGCUUUAAGCAUUCCCCCUGGGGGAGACGGUCGCCAGAUAAAACUCAAAGAAUUGACGGGGGCCCGCACAAGCGGUGGAGCAUGUGGUUUAAUUCCACGCGACGCGCACAACCUUACCAGCCCUUGACAUGUCCAGGACCGGUCGCACAGAUGUGACCUUCUCUUCGGAGCCUGGAUCACAGGUGCUGCAUGGCUGUCAUCAGCUCGUGUCGUGAGAUGUUGGGUUAAGUCACACAACAAGCGCAACCCCCAUCCUUAGUUGCUACCAUUUAGUUGAUCACUCUAAGGAGACUGCCGGUGAUAAGCCGCAAGGACGGUGGCGAUGACGUCAAGUCCUCAUGGCCCUUACGGGCUGGGCUACACACCUGCUACAAUGGCGGUGACAAUGCCAUGCUAAGGGGCGACACUUCGCA